AGCCUUACUGCGAAGGAAUAAGAAUGUCGAGAAUCUGUCGAGAAAUUUAAAGACAGUAUUCAAAUGUUAGGAAUUUGUCAACAAUUUUUAAGAACAUAUUCAGAAUGUCGAGAAUUUGUCAGGUACAUUUCAUAUAGAUGUAAUAAAAAUCAGAAUUUGUCAAGAAAAAUUAAGACUCAAGGGAUACUUUUGGAAAAGGUCGAGUAAUUGUUUAUGCAAAUUUGACAAAAAAUGGUCUUUUCAGACUUUUGAACUUUUGUAGUU
rnacentral:lncRNA from 1 species